GUAAACUGUCAGCAAAACCACAUGUGAAUCAUAAUCGUGUUUAACCAUUACAACAUUUAAAACUACUGACAGGUUGGUUGCACAGUUCUGAUCUUCUUACUACCAGAGAUGAAUAUAAAGCGCCGACAGGAAGUGACCUGCCAUAUGUGCCACAGAGAGCAUCUGCAUCCCUCCAGAUGGAGACUCUGCAUCAUGCACCUUCUUCUCAUUCACUUCUAUUCAUCUCCUCAUUUCCCUGAGCACUCAUAUGACGUCCAUGGCCCCUCCCUGCGCAUAAUCCCG
ensembl:lncRNA